CGGCAACCAACCCCAAGGUUGGGCAUAGCCGCGGGAAACUGCGGGUAAUUCCCAGCGAUGUUCGUACCGGGCAUCCGGUGUGAACCAAAGUUCUGGCGCCGUGGGACGGGCCGUCGUGGUAUUAGGUAGUUGGCGGGGUAAUGGCCCACCAAGCCUCUGAUGCCUACCGGGCGUGCGAGCGUGGCCCGGCACACUGGGACUGAGACACUGCCCAGACUCCUACGGGAGGCUGCAGUCGAGAAUCUUCGGCAAUGGGCGCAAGCCUGACCGAGCGACGCCGCGUGGAGGAUGAAGGCCUUCGGGUUGUAAACUCCCUGUCGAGGGGGAGGAAGGGGUAACCUUGACCUAUCCCUGGAGGAAGCACGGGCUAAGUUCGUGCCAGCAGCCGCGGUAAGACGAACCGUGCGAACGUUAUUCGGAAUCACUGGGCUUAAAGCGCGUGUAGGCGGAUGGGGACGUCGGUAGCUGAAAUCCCCCGGCUCAACCGGGGAAGUGACGCCGAAACGCCCCGUCUGGAGGGACGUAGGGGGACCUGGAACUUCCGGUGGAGCGGUGAAAUGCGUUGAGAUCGGAAGGAACGCCCGUGGCGGAAGCGAGGUCCUGGACGUUUUCUGACGCUGAGACGCGAAAGCUAGGGUAGCGAACGGGAUUAGAUACCCCGGUAGUCCUAGCUGUAAACGAUGGGCACUGGGGUAGGGGGCUCGCCGAUGGGCUCUCUGCCGAAGGGAAACCGUGAAGUGCCCCGCCUGGGGAAUAUGGUCGCAAGGCUGAAACUCAAAGGAAUUGACGGGGGCUCACAC
rnacentral:rRNA from 1 species